AGAGCGAACGCUGGCGGCAGGCCUAACACAUGCAAGUCGAACGGACUCUUCGGAGUUAGUGGCGGACGGGUGAGUAACACGUGGGAACGUGCCUUUAGGUUCGGAAUAGCUCCUGGAAACGGGUGGUAAUGCCGAAUGUGCCCUUCGGGGGAAAGAUUUAUCGCCUUUAGAGCAGCCCGCGUCUGAUUAGCUAGUUGGUGAGGUAAAGGCUCACCAAGGCUACGAUCAGUAGCUGGUCUGAGAGGAUGACCAGCCACAUUGGGACUGAGACACGGCCCAAACUCCUACGGGAGGCAGCAGUGGGAAUCUUGCGCAAUGGGCGAAAGCCUGACGCAGCAUGCCGCGUGAAUGAUGAAGGUCUUAGAUUGUAAAUUCUUCAGUAGGACGAUAAUGACGUACUACAGAAGAACGCCCGCUAACUUCGUGCCAGCAGCCGC
rnacentral:rRNA from 1 species